rnacentral:lncRNA from 1 species
AAAAAGGUUUAAUUUCAAUAGAGUCAGCGAAAAAAUAUCUCUCUUUUUAUAAAUAACCUUGCUCGCAGUAUGGGCAAAUUUGUGACAGACACACGUAUUUCUCUGUUUAUACAGAUAGUCUCCUUUAUAUUUAUACGGGGUACCACCUGUUACAUUACCACAACUCACAAUUUUCACUUAUACAACCAAACAAGCACAGUAUACAGAUGCUCAUACAGCUAUACAGUUCUUAUGAAAAAUGAUACUGUCACGCCCCGAAUUACAUGUUCCCCGGGCACGCCGACAAAUCCGCCGUAUUACAAAGGAAUUUCCUCUGUAUACGAAGCGAUAGUUGUACCUGUAAAUUAUACAAUACUACAAACAGUAGUAUAGAACUGCUAGAGUAAACAGAAACUAAACAAACGGAGUUCCAUAUACAUAGUCCAAUACCAAAAAUACAGAGCUACUCGCACUGGCGAGUUAAGUAUACUAUGUACAUGAACUCAAAACAAAACAUCUACCU